GAUGAACGCUGGCGGUAUGCCUAAUACAUGCAAGUCGAACGGACUCUUCGGAGUUUGUGGCGGACGAGUGAGUAAGGCGUGGGAAUCUGGCCUUGGGUUCGGGACAACCACUGGAAACGGUGGCCAAUACCGGAUGUGCCGAGAGGUCAAAGAGAAAUUUACUGAAGAUGAGCUCGUGUCUGAUUACCUAGUUGGUGAGGUAAAGGCUCACCAAGGCAGCGAUCAGUAUCUGUUCUGAGAGGAUGACCGGCCACACUGCGACUGGGACACGGCCGAGACUACUACGGGAGACAGCAGUAAGGAAUGUUGCGCAAUGGGCGAGAGCCUGACGAAGCUAUACGGCGUGAGAGAAGAAGGCUCUUGGGUUGAAAACCUCUUUACUUAAGGAAGAACAAAAUGACGGUACCUAAGGAGACAGCAACGGCUAACUACGUG
rnacentral:rRNA from 1 species